rnacentral:rRNA from 1 species
UACGGGGGGAGCAAGCGUUGUUCGGAUUUACUGGGCGUAAAGGGCGCGUAGGCGGUCGUGACAAGUCACUUGUGAAAUCUCCGGGCUUAACUCGGAAAGGUCAAGUGAUACUGUCGGACUAGAGUACAGAAGGGGCAACUGGAAUUCUCGGUGUAGCGGUGAAAUGCGUAGAUAUCGAGGGGAACACCUGCGGCGAAGGCGGGUUGCUGGGCUGAUACUGACGCUGAGGCGCGAAAGCCAGGGGAGCGAACGGG